UACGGAGGAUGCGAGCGUUAUCCGGAUUUAUUGGGUUUAAAGGGUGCGUAGGCGGAUCGUUAAGUCAGUGGUCAAAUUGAGGGGCUCAACCCCUUCCCGCCAUUGAAACUGGCGAUCUUGAGUGGAAGAGAAGUAUGCGGAGUGCGUGGUGUAGCGGUGAAAUGCAUAGAUAUCACGCAGAACCCCGAUUGCGAAGGCAGCAUGCCGGCUUCCGACUGACGCUGAAGCACGGAAGCGUGGGGAUCGAACAGG
rnacentral:rRNA from 1 species